rnacentral:pre_miRNA from 1 species
AGUGACAGUUGCCGUUGCUUGAGUCAAAGUAAUACCGAUAGAGGCCAAGUUCGCCCCAGGAAUCGGGCCACUGUUAGCAGUACCAGAAGUGCCUGCUGCCGUAUUAGGAGUGAAAAACGGUGGAAGUCCAUA